ACGAAGAAUGAAAGAUUAAUUUGAUGAAACUCGAAGAAAACUUGAAGAUUCAGCAUCAUAUUGAAAGAACAAGAUAAGUUUCUCAUCAUAUUUUUGUUUCUAUUGAUUCUCAUUAUGUUUUAAUCAAAAAUAAGUUCUGAAAAGUUUAUUGACAGUUUCAAAUACCUAAUAAAUUCGAUUUUACUUCGAAGUUUGGUCUGAUUUUAUAAUCGUUGCUUCGAUCUAUCAUCCUUUUAUCAUUUUCUUUGAUUCGAACUAUUUUUUUUUUCGAAUUUUGUUUACGAAAUAUUUUUUAGGGUUUGUAAUCAGCUCUAUUGUAAUUUUUUUAUGAUUUCAACUAAAUUUUCUCGAUGAAAUUAAGAUUAGAGUUCAGAUCUGUUAUAAUCUAAUCCUUAUCUUGCUUUUAACAUGAAAAACCUGAAAGUAAAUCACGUGAUUUUUUCUAGGUUUUAUCAUUGAAGAUCAAUCGAUCAAUUUAUCUUAAAUCUCUUUUGAAAAUCGGUUUUCAUAUUCGAAAUCUACGAAUCAUCAUCUCUAUUACCCAUCUAUUUGUUAUGAAUUUCAUAUAUUUUUAUCUUUUAACUAGUUCAAGCUAAUAUCUACUUGUAUCUGAUCUUGAAUGUUUUAUUUUAAAAUGUAAUCAAAAUUGGAAUUAGUUGUUUGAUUGCCUGAUAUUAAAAUUUUAUUCUCCGUGGAGAAAUUAUCAGAUUCAGUAUUUAACACCGAAUUCUCUAUGUUACAGAAUCUAUACCUCAUUUGGUUUUUUGGGUUUUUGGACGGACUAUUUGUUUGAUGUAUUUGCGUAGGAAUACAAUUAAGUACGAUGAUUUUCCGGAAGUAGAGGUUUCAGAGGAGUAUUUUGGAGUCGGUGGUGCAGGUAAAUUCAUUGUUUACAGUUAAGCUCGAGAUAGGCGUGGUAAUUAAGCUCCCUACUUUAAUUGUUUACAGUUACAAAUACUUCCGUUGGUAUGACAUGAGCAGCUUGUGCUAUUUUCACUUGAAGUUAUGGUGUUGGAAUCCAUGGUGUUCUAAUAUCUUUUGUCGCAUGAGUUUUCAAAUAACAGAUUGCAAAAAACUUCAAGAGCUAACUAAGGGUCUUGGUGUUGGUGGUAAUUAUGAUUUUGGUAUGAAUGCUGCUUAAGAGAAAGUAGAGAAGCAAUAUAGGAGGCACUUUUAUGGUUCCGAGAUCGUAUUUCUAAUGGUGCAGAGACAUAUAAAGGGAGGCGCAGAAAACACAAAAGAACUACCUUUUUAUCACCAUUUUGACGCCUGCAAGUGUUUGACAGAGAUCGUGAAAUAUUGAAGUGAAGGUCAGUGACUAUCCGAGUAAAUAGAAUAGGAAUAAGCCAAGUGGUGUUGUUAACCAAGAAAAUAGUGGAGACACCAACGGUUCGCAUAGGUCAUGUGCUUCUAUAUACCUAGCUCAAUGGAUGUGUAGGCGUGGUAUUCCGCAAUGGGUUUUGAAGUUGAAAAACGAGCUCACAGUCAAGGUAUAUGAAACCCAUUGCCGUUUAGCUCUAGAGGCUGGGGACUUGCCGGAGUUUAAUCGUGUUGGCUACUGAUUCUUUUAUUUCAUUUUGUGUGUCUCUAUGGUCAUGUUCUUCAGACGGAGUAAUGAGAUUUUCAGCCUUUUUAGUUCUUUCAUUUUGCCGAACCAUCAUUUCCUUCAGAUGUGCAAAUAUAUUGAAAUCGAGAAAGAUAAAAAAGGAAGAAAACAUUUCUAUUAUAGGAUAUAAUGGAUUUUUCUAAGAUUUCGCUUUCCAUAUCUCGUGUUUUAAUUCGUUCAUUGUGUUCAAACAACCAAUUACUAUAAUUGUAGUAAUUGAUGAACGGAAAAAUUAUUGUAAAUAAAAAUUAAAGUAAUGCAUAUAUUUUAUGA